AUUGAACGCUGGCGGCAGGCCUAACACAUGCAAGUCGAGCGAGAGGCGGACGGGUGAGUAAUGUCUGGGAAACUGCCUGAUGGAGGGGGAUAACUACUGGAAACGGUAGCUAAUACAGCCUACCAUCACAUGUGCCCACAUGGGAUUAGCUCGUAGGUGGGGUAACGGCUCUCCUAGGCGACGAUCCCUAGCUGGUCUGAGAGGAUGACCAGCCACACUGGAACUGAGACACGGUCCAGACUCCUACGGGAGGCAGCAGUGGGGAAUAUUGCACAAUGGGCGCAAGCCUGAUGCAGCCAUGCCGCGUGUGUGAAGAAGGCCUUCGGGUUGUAAAGUACUUUCAGCGGGGAGGCGUUACCCGCAGAAGAAGCACCGGCUAACUCCGUGCCAGCCGCCGCGGUAAUUC
rnacentral:rRNA from 1 species